rnacentral:rRNA from 1 species
CACGUAGGGCGCAAGCGUUGUCCGGAAUUAUUGGGCGUAAAGAGCUCGUAGGCGGUCUGUUACGUCUGCUGUGAAAACCCUGGGCUUAACCCUGGGCUUGCAGUGGAUACGGGCAGACUAGAGUGUGGUAGGGGAGACUGGAAUUCCUGGUGUAGCGGUGAAAUGCGCAGAUAUCAGGAGGAACACCGGUGGCGAAGGCGGGUCUCUGGGCAACAACUGACGCUGAGGAGCGAAAGCGUGGGGAGCGAACAGG